rnacentral:rRNA from 1 species
GAUGAACGCUGACAGAAUGCUUAACACAUGCAAGUCUACUUGAACUUCGGUUUGGGUGGCGGACGGGUGAGUAACGCGUAAAGAACUUGCCUCACAGUUAGGGACAACAUUUGGAAACGAAUGCUAAUACCUGAUAUUAUGAUUUUAGGGCAUCCUAGGAUUAUGAAAGCUAUAUGUGCUGUGAGAGAGCUUUGCGUCCCAUUAGCUAGUUGGAGAGGUAACGGCUCACCAAGGCGAUGAUGGGUAGUCGGCCUGAGAGGGUGAACGGCCACAAGGGGACUGAGACACGGCCCUUACUCCUACGGGAGGCAGCAGUGGGGAAUAUUGGACAAUGGACCAAAAGUCUGAUCCAGCAAUUCUGUGUGCACGAUGACGUUUUUCGGAAUGUAAAGUGCUUUCAGUUGGGAAGAAAAAAAUGACGGUACCAACAGAAGAAGUGACGGCUAAAUACGUG